rnacentral:rRNA from 1 species
UGGGGAAUCUUGCGCAAUGGACGAAAGUCUGAUCUAGCAACACCGCGUGUGCGAAGAAGGCCUUCGGGUCGUAAAGCACUUUUUGGAAGGAAUAGGAAGGAAUGUACUUCCAGAAUAAGUCUCGGCUAACUACGUGCCAGCAGCCGCGGUAACACGUAGGAGGCAAACGUUAUCCGGAUUUACUGGGCGUAAAGCGCGUGUAGGUGGUACUGUAAGUAGGGCGUGAAAGCUCCUGGCUCAACUGGGAGAGGCCGUUCUAAACUACAGAACUAGAGGAUGGUAGAGGGAGGUGGAAUUCCAGGUGUAGCGGUGGAAUGCGCAGAUAUCUGGAGGAACACCGGUGGCGAAGGCGGCCUCCUGGACCAUUCCUGACACUCAGACGCGAAAGCUAGGGUAGCAAACG